AUGCUUAUCCGGCAGGGGAGAUUCCAAGAUCAGGACGUGCUUUGCCCAGGUGAGGCUUAUCCAUUGCACUCCAGAUGUGCUGACCCCCGCGAUUUCCCCAACUGUGGAAAACGCUACUGCAUAAUUUGUGGUAAUGGGGGAAAAUAAAUAAAAAUAUAAGGUAUAUAACCACCA
rnacentral:snRNA from 1 species